UCACGUGCUACAAUGGCAUAUACAGAGGGAAGCAAGACAGUGAUGUGGAGCAAAUCCCUAAAAAUUUGCCUCAGUUCGGAUUGCACUCUGCAACUCGAGAGCAUGAAGCCA
rnacentral:rRNA from 1 species